CUGUUACGUAGCGCUAAUUGCACUUCAUUAUUGGAAGAGUCUUCUGUUAAAACAUACAUCUGUGUAGCCACGUCCUUUGUGCGGCAUACAGCGGCGUUGAAGCUAUUGUCUCACACGCUUGACCAAACUGGCGGUGGCAUAUUUCCUCAAAUAUGUGUUCUUCAGAAGCUGGGUAAAUGGAGACCAGAACCAGCCACAGGAGAAAGAAGUCUUCUUCUUGAGUCGAAUCACCUACUGGUGGUUUAACAGAGUGGUGGCGGUUGGUCAGAGACGGCCACUACAGCUGGAGCAUCUGAGCCCACUGAGUGAGGAGGACACUGCCCAGCAUGUUUGCUCUACUUUUGAACAACACUGGAGGACCCAGGAGGCGGCUGCUGGCCAUGAAGAGGUAAUAACAGAGGCAACAAAUCCUCUCCAUCAAAUGUAUUCAACUUCAAAGAUUUGUCAAUAAAUGUCAGUGUGGUCUAUAACUAUUGUCAGCGGCUAAAUAACUUGAGAAAACUUGGGCACAUAACUGGUCAUUGGGAGCCAGAAUUCUUGCUGUUUGCUUG